rnacentral:misc_RNA from 1 species
UCUAAAGCGUCCGAUACACUAUACUUAGCGUUUCUCGACGUCCGUUACUGCGCUAGCAAGAACUAGCAAAUCGUUCGGUAAAAUAUAGUGGCAGCUCGGUGACCGGUAAAUGUGGAGUGUUGAUGUUCAUCCGCUAUUAGUCCGCACGGAGUUGUUGCCUGGUUCUCGUCAUCUUCGUCGUUGGCGUGCCACAGCACGACAGCUCCGCUGCGCCGCCAACUCCACUACCGCGCCAACUCGUUGAGCACCACGCCAUGGCCGUCGGGGCGGAGGUUCCACGACGCGGUGCCCUACGUGGCCUCGGCCACGACAUUCGUGUCCAGCGCAUGCUGAUUUGGUCUGGCACGUGGAAGGAGCAUCAUGGCCAUGGAGUCUACGGUAGCCUCCGGCGGCGCGACACAGUUGUAGGUAGCCAAUCCGUCGGGUAUGAUCUGAGCGACCUGCAUGCUCAAAGUUGUAGCCAUGCAAGUGGGUGCAUGGAGGACGCGCACCAGGUGCUCGAUGAUAUGCUUUAUCGACUGCUUAUAAACCUGCUUUCGUUGUUAAGCCAAAAAAGAAG